GUCUAAGAUGGCGGACGAGGCCACCCGGCGUGUCGUGUCUGAGAUCCCAGUGCUGAAGACCAACGCUGGACCUCGAGAUCCGGAGUUGUGGGUGCAGAGACUCAAGGAGGAAUAUCAGUCUCUUGUACGGUAUGUGGAGAACAACAAGAAUGCGGACAAUGACUGGUUCCGACUGGAGUCCAACAAAGAAGGGACUCGCUGGUUUGGAAAAUGCUGGUACAUCCAUGACCUCCUCAAAUAUGAGUUUGACCAUCGAGUUUGAUAUUCCUAUCACAUAUCCCCUACUGCUCCAGAAAUUGCAGUACCUGAACUAGAUGGAAAAACAGCAAAGAUGUACAGGGGUGGCAAAAUAUGCCUGACCGAUCACUUUAAGCCUUUGUGGACCAGGAAUGUGCCUAAGUUUGGACUAGCUCAUCUCAUGGCUCUGGGGCUGGGACCAUGGCUGGCAGUGGAAAUCCCCAAUCUGAUUCAGAAGGGAGUGAUUCAGCAUAAAGAGAAAUGCAGCCAAUGAAGGAUCAAGCCACUGAGGCAGGACAGAGGGACCUUUGAUAGGCUACGGUUCCUGUUAUCCUGUGCAUCAUUCUUCUAACUCAUCUAACUGCUCCCCCGACACCCGUUCACCCAUAAUUGUUACUAAGUAGCUGCAGUA